UAGUCCACGCCGUAAACGAUGUCAACUAGCCGUCGGGCUCAUUAUAAGGGUUUGGUGGCGCAGCUAACGCGAUAAGUUGACCGCCUGGGGAGUACGCCGGCAACGGUAAAACUCAAAGGAAUUGACGGGGCCCGCACAAGCGGUGGAGCAUGUGGUUUAAUUCGAUGCAACGCGAAGAACCUUACCUACCCUUGACAUCCUCAGAACUUGUUAGAGAUAACUUGGUGCCUUCGGGAAUUGAGUGACAGGUGCUGCAUGGCUGUCGUCAGCUCGUGUCGUGAGAUGUUGGGUUAAGUCCCGCAACGAGCGCAACCCUUAUGAUAUAGUUGUAUUUUUUCUAUACAGACUGCCACGGUAACGUGGAGGAAGGAGGGGAUGGACGUCAGGUCCUCAUUGCCCUUACGCCCUGGGGCUAGAACGCGCUACAAUGGCCAGUACAGUGGGGCCGCGAAGCAGUAAUGUGGAGCAAAUCCCCCAAAGCUGGUCCCAGUUCGGAUUGGAGGCU
rnacentral:rRNA from 1 species